GUCAGUUUCAUACACUGAUUGUGAUUCUGUCCCUGUCUACGCCUUGGAAACUCACAGUCAAUCCACAUCCCUGGAAAAGGUGGGGCACAGGAAGAGAGUGAGAGGGGGAGUUUCUACACCUCCUACAGGGAUACAACAGUGAGCAUGGUGGGCAUGGUCCCUGUUUUCAGGGAGCUUACAGUCCAGCAGGGGCGAUCGUCACGGACAUGAUUUUGUUAUUGCAAGGACUAGAGAGGCAGAUCCAUGGCCACCAAGCUGUUAAGCGGCAAAACUGGGGAUUCGAAUCCUGGUGUCUCAGAGAUGAAGCACUUCCCAACUAAGCCAGGGGCCCAUGACUGUAGUCACCUAACUACCUGGGAAUCUUUAAGAAACACCAAAGCCGCCGGGCGCGGUGGCUCACGCCUGUAAUCCCAGCACUUUGGGAGGCCAAGGCAGGCAGAUCACGAGGUCAGGAGAUCGAGACCAUGCUGGCUAACACGGUGAAACCCGUCUCUACUAAAAAUACAAAAAAUUAGCCAGGCGUGGUGGCGGGCGCCUGUAGUCUCAGCUACUCAGGAGGCUGAGGCAGGAGAAUGGCGUGAACCCAGGAGGCGGACGGAGCUUGCUGUGAGCCGAGAUUGUGCCACUGCACUCCAGCCUGGGGAACAGAGCGAGACUCUGUCUCAAAACAAAAAACAAACAAACAAACAACAACAACAACAAAAAACAAAGAAAAAAGAAACCCCAAAGCCUGGGCCCUGCCCUCACAAUCUCUGGAUACUCUGACCCCGUGGGUGUGGGAGUUUUCAGACCUCCCUGGGUAAUGCUGAUGCCCAGCCAGGGCUGAGCUCUCCUACACUCCAGUUCCUGCAUGCUCUGCCCUUUGCAAUACCCCGUUGUCCUCGUGGCGCUCCUGCUAUGAAUGAGCCAGCUCCCUCUAGUCUGUGAACUUCCUGACAGCAGAGUUCACGUUUUUCAUCUUUAUGUCCCCAACAUGCAGCACAAUCUCUGGCACACUUUUGGAAGAGUGCUUAGAACUCUGCAAGAGAGAGGAACUGAGACUGAGAUGAGGAAGUUUCGGGGAGGCAGACAGACUUGGCCUGCCCAAUACAUGAAGUGUUGACCGAAAGGAAGGGCUGCCCACCAUGUAUUGAGCUCCCCACUGGAAGAAGUAAUCAAGAAGAAGCAGAAGCUGAUGCUUCCUAAGGGACUACUGCCUAUGUUCAGAUUCUAUUUGUUUCUCUCCACCAUCACCAAAGUGAGCAUUUCCACCUCACAGUUCUUAUUCCUAGAGGCACAGAGUCUCCUACAGGAAAGCAACAGGGAAAUCUACUUCAGCCUCCAGCCAACCCUGUGCAGAAAUCCCCUCAGCUGCAGCUCCAUCCUCUCUGUAGUGGGGACCUUAUUCCACAUCGCGAAGUCAGCUUGGACAGCUCUGAUGACUAGAAAAUUCCUCCUUUCUUGGGUCAAGGUUCAUGCUCUGCAACUCCUGUCAUUUGGCCCUGGUUCUGCCCUCUGGAGUGGCAUCAUUCCUUCAUCCCACUCAUAGGGUUGCAUAGGCUGCAGAAAGGACUUUGGAUUUUAUGUCAAGUGAAAUGGGGGCCACAUGAAGUAUCAUUAAACCAGGGGGCAGGGAUGGCAACGUGAUUUGAUUUCUGAUUUCAAAAGAACACUGUGGGCCAGGUGCGGUGGCUCCUACCUGUAAUCCCAGCACUUUGAGAGGCUGAGGCGGGUGGAUCACCUGAGGUCAGGUGUUCGAGACCAGCUUGGCCAACAUGGUGAAACACCGUCUCUACUAAAUACAAAAAAUUAUCUGGGUGUGGUGGCGGGCACCUGUAAUCCCAGCUACUUGGGAGGCUGAGGCAGGAGAAUCGCUUGAACCCAGGAGGCGGGGGUUGCAGUGAGCUGAGAUUGCACCAUUGCACUUCAGCCUGGGCAACAAGAGCAAGACUCUGUCUCAAAAAAGGAAAAAGAAAAGAAAAGAAACCCACUGUGUUACUGUGUGGAAUCUGGAUUACAGGGGAGUAACAGGAGAACCCAGCCGAUGGGUUGGGAAGCUCCUGGAAUCAUUCAAACAAGAGAUGAUGGUAGCUUGGGCAGUGGUGCUAGCAGGGAAGAUGGAUUUGGGAUGUGUUUUGGGUACAGAGCCAGCAAGACUUGCUGAUGGAUUGGAUGUGCAUAUGCUAGUAUUUGCCUAGUAUAAGAGAAUCUUGGCCUUAUGUGUCAUCUUUAUUAACAAGAAAUAGCUAAAUUUAAAAUAUUCGUAUUUUCGUAUGCAGAGGAUGGAUAAUUUAAUCUAUUCAUGAUUACUGAGAUCGCUUUUGUUUUGAUUUCUAUCUCUGCGUUGUUGUUGCUUUUCUGGUUGUUAUCUUUAUUCUCAUUCCUGAUUUUCUAGAUUUAUUGUCUUGUUUCUUAUCUCUUCCCCUAUUUUCUUUUCCCCUUUUAAACAAGUUACUUGUAACAUAUCUGACAUACAAG
rnacentral:lncRNA from 10 species